UACGUAGGGGCAAGCGUUGUCCGGAUUUAUUGGGCGUAAAGAGCGUGUAGGCGGCUUGGUAGGUCUCGCGUCAAAACCUGAGGCUCAACCUCAAGUUCGCGUGGGAAACCACCUAGCUAGAGUCCGGAAGAGGAGAACGGAAUUCCCGAGUGUAGCGGUGAAAUGCGCAGAUAUUGGGAAGAACACCAGUGGCGAAGGCGGAUUCUCUGGGACGGUACG
rnacentral:rRNA from 1 species